CAGCGUGGGUGCGGACUGAUAAGACGUACGGUCGACUAUCACGUGUGGGUGGCAACAGGUGUUAUUUGGUGAAAUGCAGUUAAAGACACAUUUAAGUAUGGAUAGCUAACAACAGUCACGAUUGUUCUGAGACAGGAGUUGGCUGCGUAUGAUUUACACGUGACAAAAUGCGAAGAAAAUUUGUGCUUAUAGGUUACAGAUAAAAAAGAGGGGACCCAUUUCUUCCUUCUGCCUUUGUCUCUGCCACCAGACCUCGACCCCUCUUUCCUCCCCUCUUUUUUCCCGUCCCCUCUUAAAAGUAGAAAUAAACGGUAGAUAAACGUGCC